rnacentral:lncRNA from 1 species
UAAUAAUUUUACCACUUGAUUUAAUUAUGUUAGAACGAUAGGUAAAGUUGUUAUGCCCAUUCUUUUCAUAUUUGAAAUAAGUUAUCUUAUUUAAUGGUUUGCUUGGUGAAUUGAUAACCUUUUUCUCUAGAGAUUUAUUGUUAAGUAAAGGUGUCAAGCCAAGUUUUGAUUUAUCAUAAGCAACAUAUUGGCUUUCAAACAUC